GUCCCCUCCGACCUGGGGGUUCACCUGGACACGGAUUUCCCAGGACCUCUGCGGGCUCAGCAAGGGGAUCCCGAGAGCCCUCCGCGGACCUCAGACCCAUAGCAACUAGAGUCCAAGGUGAGGGCCCUGGCACUCGCGGUCCCGGGGUGCAGGGCACAGAGCCCCCGCUGGGGAAUGAGGAACAGCAGAGGGGCGCCCACCCCGUGCUAGCUAGCUGGUGACAUUGGGGAAGCCCAGAACUGAGCUGCACUUCAUUUCCCACAUCUGUGAGCGGGGCAGGUGCCCCCACUCCCCUCGC
rnacentral:lncRNA from 1 species